UACGGGGGGGGCAAGCGUUGUUCGGAAUUACUGGGCGUAAAGGGUUUGUAGGUGGCUUGUUAAGUCAGACGUGAAAUCCCUCAGCUUAACUGGGGAACUGCGUCUGAUACUGGCGAGCUUGAGUGCAGGAGAGGAACGCGGAAUUCCAGGUGUAGCGGUGAAAUGCGUAGAUAUCGGAAGGAACAUCAGUGGCGAAGGCGGCUUCCUGGACCAGCACCGACGUCAGGCACGAAAGCGUGGGGAGCAAACAGG
rnacentral:rRNA from 1 species